rnacentral:rRNA from 1 species
GAUGAACGCUAGCUACAGGCUUAACACAUGCAAGUCGAGGGGUAGCAGGAUCUAGCAAUAGAUUGCUGACGACCGGCGCACGGGUGAGUAACACGUAUCCAACCUUCCGUUUACUCGGGGAUAGCCUUUCGAAAGAAAGAUUAAUACCCGAUAGUAUGUUUUUCCCGCAUGGGAGAACCAUUAAAGUUUUUCGGUAAUCGAUGGGGAUGCGUUCCAUUAGGCAGUUGGUGAGGUAACGGCUCACCAAACCUUCGAUGGAUAGGGGUUCUGAGAGGAAGGUCCCCCACAUUGGAACUGAGACACGGUCCAAACUCCUACGGGAGGCAGCAGUGAGGAAUAUUGGUCAAUGGACGAGAGUCUGAACCAGCCAAGUAGCGUGAAGGAUGACUGCCCUAUGGGUUGUAAACUUCUUUUAUAUGGGAAUAAAGGAGCCUACGUGUAGGUUUUGAUGUACCAUACGAAUAAGGAUCGGCUAACUCCGUGCCAGCAGCCGGGUAAACAUACUCGUA